rnacentral:rRNA from 1 species
AGCCGCGGUAAUACGGAGGAUCCGAGCGUUAUCCGGAUUUAUUGGGUUUAAAGGGUGCGUAGGCGGCCUUUUAAGUCAGCGGUGAAAGUCUGUGGCUCAACCAUAGAAUUGCCGUUGAAACUGGGGGGCUUGAGUAUGUUUGAGGCAGGCGGAAUGCGUGGUGUAGCGGUGAAAUGCUUAGAUAUCACGCAGAACCCCGAUUGCGAAGGCAGCCUGCCAAGCCAUGACUGACGCUGAUGCACGAAAGCGUGGGGAUCAAACAGGAUUAGAUACCCUGGUAGUCCACGCAGUAAACGAUGAUCACUAGCUGUUUGCGAUACACAGUAAGCGGCACAGCGAAAGCGUUAAGUGAUCCACCUGGGGAGUACGCCGGCAACGGUGAAACUCAAAGGAAUUGACGGGGGCCCGCACAAGCGGAGGAACAUGUGGUUUAAUUCGAUGAUACGCGAGGAACCUUACCCGGGCUUAAAUUGCAACUGACGGAUUUGGAAACAGAUCUUCCUUCGGGCAGUUGUGAAGGUGCUGCAUGGUUGUCGUCAGCUCGUGCCGUGAGGUGUCGGCUUAAGUGCCAUAACGAGCGCAACCCUUGCCACUAGUUACUAACAGGUAAAGCUGAGGACUCUGGUGGGACUGCCAGCGUAAGCUGCGAGGAAGGCGGGGAUGACGUCAAAUCAGCACGGCCCUUACAUCCGGGGCGACACACGUGUUACAAUGGCGUGGACAAAGGGAAGCCACCUGGCGACAGGGAGCGAAUCCCCAAACCACGUCUCAGUUCGGAUCGGAGUCUGCAACCCGACUCCGUGAAGCUGGAUUCGCUAGUAAUCGCGCAUCAGCCAUGGCGCGGUGAAUACGUUCCCGGGCCUUGUACACACCGCCCGUCAAGCCAUGGGAGCCGGGGGUACCUGAAGUACGUAACCGCAAGGAGCGUCCUAGGGUAAAACUGGUAAUUGGGGCUAAGUCGUAACAAGGUAGCCGUACCGGAAGGUGCGGCUG